rnacentral:rRNA from 1 species
AGUGAACGCUGGCGGUAGGCCUAACACAUGCAAGUCGAACGGCAGCACAGUAAGAGCUUGCUCUUACGGGUGGCGAGUGGCGGACGGGUGAGGUAUACAUCGGAAUCUACUUUUUCGUGGGGGAUAACGUAGGGAAACUUACGCUAAUACCGCAUACCACCUACGGGUGAAAGCAGGGGAGCUUCGGACCUUGCGCGAUUGAAUGAGCCGAUGUCGGAUUAGCUAGUUGGCGGGGUAAAGGCCCACCAAGGCGACGAUCCGUAGCUGGUCUGAGAGGAUGAUCAGCCACACUGGAACUGAGACACGGUCCAGACUCCUACGGGAGGCAGCAGUGGGGAAUAUUGGACAAUGGGCGCAAGCCUGAUCCAGCCAUGCCGCGUGUGUGAAGAAGGCCUUCGGGUUGUAAAGCCCUUUUGUUGGGAAAGAAAAGCAGCAGGUUAAUACCCCGCUGUUCUGACGGUACCCAAAGAAUAAGCACCGGCUAACUUCGUG